CAAAAUAGUCCUAAAAGGCAUCAAAAAGUCCUUAGAAGCCACAAAAGACCCUGUGUUGAUGACUUACCCAGAGUACUAUGGUCGGCUCCAACUACCAUGAAAGAGGCAAUAGGGCAGUCCUCAUUCAUCCUAGUAUACAGAAGCGAAGCAGUGCUCCCAGUGGAGAUCGACAUACCCUCCCCUCGGAUGACCUUCUCCGAAUUCAAGAAAAACGAAGUGUAACAACCCAAAUUUAAGAGUGUUUUAAUUAUCAUUAUUAUCAAAAAUUAUAUAUAUUAGACUUUCUUAUCAUAUUUAAGUUGGAAUAUGAAGUUUAUAUUUUAUUAACGAUAUUCUAGUAGUUUAUUAUUGUUGAUAAUAUAUGUUAAUUAAACAAUACUCUAAAUGUGUUUAAUCUACUAGUAUAUUUAUGCAAACGAGUUUGAAUAACUUGCAGUUCACUAGAAUAAUAUCGUUAUAUGUUAGUAUAUCAUAAUUGCAAACCUUUGCAGUUUUAACUUAGUAAGUCGUCUUGUAGACAUUUUAGAUGUGAAUAGAAAAGAAAACCCAAAAGUCGUAAACACCACCCCUGUUGUUUUAGUCGGUCAAUAGACAAACCCCCUACUAUUUCUCUCUCUCUUGGGUUUCAUUUUUCCCCCCAAACCCCUAAAAUCCUCAUCCCCCGUUUCCUUCGUCCCCCUCUGUUUGACUUCUCCCACCUCUUUCACUGUUCCCUACCCUCACCGGAGCUUCUCGCCGCCGCAAGCUAGCGGCGUUAUUUAAUGCUUUCUCUCUCUCCUCUACUCGGUUUGUGUUGAUGUGAAUUGGCGGUGAUGUCGCUGUCUUUUGUGCGCCGCUGACGUUGCUGCCUCCAUCGCUGCUGUUGUUAUCGCGCAGUGCUGUUGCCGCCUCUGUCGCACGGUGUUGCAGCCUAAUUCUGACCAAUAUGAGUUCAUACUAAAACAGGUUUCAUAUUGGAUUCGCGAGGUUUAAGGUGGGGACGAAAAUUGAUAGAGGAACUUUAUAUUCUGAGACUUUCAAAUGUAAAUUGUAGUUGGGUUUAAAUAUGUAUUUGUUAUGUUAUUCUUGUUGAGGUUUUGAUUAAGAUUUCUUAGUUUAGUUUGUAAUACUGAUUAGUUUCAUUGGGUUUGAUUUUCUCUUGAGGUUAUUUCCGCGAAAUCGUCGACGGUUUAGGUUUUGAGAUUAAGAAUAUUAUAUUUUAUUGAGUUUGUGAACAUGUUUAAACUAUUUCCCACUUUGGGUUAUCCAAUUUUCAGAAGAAAUGUUGUCGAAAUUUCGAGUCAAAUUAGGAGACUAUUGUAUUAAGGUUUGUAUUUAUAAUAACACUGUUUUUAAGAGCGUUUAUUGAAAAUCUAAUUAUAAUAUUAAGUUGAUUA